GAUGAACGCUGGCGGCGUGCCUAAUACAUGCGAGUCGAGCGAACAGACGAGGAGCUUGCUCCUCUGACGUUAGCGGCGGACGGGUGAGUAACACGUGGAUAACCUACCUAUAAGACUGGGAUAACUUCGGGAAACCGGAGCUAAUACCGGAUAAUAUAUUGAACCGCAUGGUUCAAUAGUGAAAGACGGUUUUGCUGUCACUUAUAGAUGGAUCCGCGCCGCAUUAGCUAGUUGGUAAGGUAACGGCUUACCAAGGCAACGAUGCGUAGCCGACCUGAGAGGGUGAUCGCCCACACUGGAACUGAGACACGGUCCAGACUCCUACGGGAGGCAGCAGUAGGGAAUCUUCCGCAAUGGGCGAAAGCCUGACGGAGCAACGCCGCGUGAGUGAUGAAGGUCUUCGGAUCGUAAAACUCUGUUAUUAGGGAAGAACAAAUGUGUAAGUAACUAUGCACGUCUUGACGGUACCUAAUCAGAAAGCCACGGCUAACUACGUG
rnacentral:rRNA from 1 species